GGGACCCGCGCGGCCAGCCAACCGCCUCGCACCUGCCCUCCCCAGCCCCGGGCCAGGCGGCGGGUGGGGGAGGCCCCGACGGAGCCAGCUGUCUGUAAACCUUCCAUUCUCACCGGAACAGCAAGUCCUUCACUGCAGUUUCCACUCCCUGCCCAUUUAUCCCAGUCACCUCCAGCUCUCCCAGAGAGGGACAAGUGGUCAUAAGUCCUUGCUACCAUCCCUCCUUAAAGACUGAAUGCUCCUGAUGGGCAGGAGGGGCCCGUCUAUCCACUAGGCAGCCAGGACACCCAGCACCAGGGUUAGGAUUAGAGAUACCUGAGUGCCGCUUCUGGUUCUGCUGCUCCGAAGCUGUGUGACUUGGAGAAAACUACCUACUCUCCCCUGCUAAUGGGCGUGCCUCUCUACCUGUCUUGCAGAGCAGCUGUGAGAAUUAGGUAAGGUCUUUUCACAAAUACAUGUGAACUAUAUGCAACUCAGCAAUCAGGAAUUGUUCUUUCUCUUGGUAUCCCCACAGCACAGUAACUUGUUGUUAAGCUUCUCAGUAAACAUCUAUUGGGUCGAAGAUGCCUGGCCUGCGCCAGCUUCCAGACUGCAGCUUCCUCAGUUUCAUCCUGGACUGUUUGCAAAAGCAAACUGUGAGUCUGAGAAGCACAGUCACACUCAAGCACAUGGCUUCUGCAAACAGAGGACACAGCUACACCCCACAGGGAAGUCUUUGCUUCUGUACACACUGAUAAUGAUCCCUGUCAAUAAAAAACAUAAUUUACACAAAGAA